GAAUUUUGGACAAUGGGCGAACGCCUCAUCCACCAAUGCCUCGUGCAGCAUGAAGGCCUUCGGUUUGUAAACUGCUUUUGUACGGAACAAAAAGCUUUGGGUUAAUACCCUGGAGUCAUGACGGUACCGUAAGAAUCAGCAACGGCUAACUCCGUGCCAGCAGCCGCGGUAAUACGUAGGGUGCAAGCGUUAAUCGGAAUUACUGGGCGUCAAGCGUGCGCAGGCGGUUUUGUAAGACAGAGGUGAAAUCCCCGGGCUCAACCUGGGAACUGCCUUUGUGACUGCAAGGCUAGAGUACGGCAGAGGGGGGUGGAAUUCCGCGUGUAGCAGUGAAAUGCGUAGAUAUGCGGAGGAACACCGAUGGCGAAGGCAACCCCCUGGGCCUGUACUGACGCUCAUGCACGAAAGCGUGGGGAGCAAACA
rnacentral:rRNA from 1 species